rnacentral:rRNA from 1 species
UACGUAGGGUGCAAGCGUUGUCCGGAAUUAUUGGGCGUAAAGAGCUCGUAGGCGGUCUGUCGCGUCUGCUGUGAAAACUCAGGGCUUAACCCUGAGCUUGCAGUGGGUACGGGCAGACUAGAGUGCGGUAGGGGAGACUGGAAUUCCUGGUGUAGCGGUGAAAUGCGUAGAUAUCUGGAGGAACACCGGUGGCGAAGGCGGCCCUCUGGACGGUGACUGACGCUGAGGCACGAAAGCGUGGGUAGCAAACAGG